GACGAACGCUGGCGGCGUGCUUAACACAUGCAAGUCGAACGGAAAGGCCCUGCUUUUGUGGGGUGCUCGAGUGGCGAACGGGUGAGUAACACGUGAGUAACCUGCCCUUGACUUUGGGAUAACUUCAGGAAACUGGGGCUAAUACCGGAUAGGAGCUCCUGCUGCAUGGUGGGGGUUGGAAAGUUUCGGCGGUUGGGGAUGGACUCGCGGCUUAUCAGCUUGUUGGUGGGGUAGUGGCUUACCAAGGCUUGGAGGGGUAGCCGGCCUGAGAGGGUGACCGGCCACAUUGGGACUGAGAUACGGCCCAGACUCCUACGGGAGGCAGCAGUGGGGAAUAUUGCACAAUGGGCGGAAGCCUGAUGCAGCAACGCCGCGUGCGGGAUGACGGCCUUCGGGUUGUAAACCGCUUUCGCCUGUGACGAAGCGUGAGUGACGGUAAUGGGUAAAGAAGCACCGGCUAACUACGUG
rnacentral:rRNA from 1 species